AGUCGCGAUGUUUGACGGUUGGUCGAAUUUCAUUUGCAGGACGAAGAUGUUUAAAAGGAAUGACUUAGUUUCAUAGAGGACACAGAUACCAGCGCUGGCUUACAACAAAUGUCUGUUCGUCAACACCGCGCAAUACAUACUUGCGCAGUCCUAAACGAA
rnacentral:lncRNA from 1 species